rnacentral:rRNA from 1 species
GAUCCAGCCAUGCCGCGUGUGUGAAGAAGGCCUUCGGGUUGUAAAGCACUUUCAGUAGGGAGGAAGGCUUAUCCUUAAUACGGAUGAGUACUUGACGUUACCUACAGAAGAAGCACCGGCUAAUUUCGUGCCAGCAGCCGCGGUAAUACGAAAGGUGCAAGCGUUAAUCGGAAUUACUGGGCGUAAAGCGCGCGUAGGCGGUUUGCUAAGUCAGAUGUGAAAGCCCCGGGCUCAACCUGGGAACUGCAUUUGAAACUGGCAGGCUAGAAUGCAGUAGAGGGAGGUGGAAUUUCCGGUGUAGCGGUGAAAUGCGUAGAGAUCGGAAGGAACACCAGUGGCGAAGGCGGCCUCCUGGACUGACAUUGACGCUGAGGUGCGAAAGCGUGGGGAGCAAACAGGAUUAGAUACCGCGUAGUCCAAAGAGGAC